UCAGAGAAAUAGGUGAAGUUUAAAACUUUGCAAUUUCAGUUAAUAAUGAUUUAAUAGCUUAUUAAGUAGCCAAAUAUUUUAUUUAAAAUGAGGACUUUGCAAACAAACAUGAACAUAUUUGUUAUUUACAGGAGUCUAUGCUGCCACAAAAAAAGCGUUUGCUGCUCUGGGUGAACCAAGUGCAGACUGGCUUAACAAAACUGUGGCUAUGGGGGCAGAUGGUGCUGCUGUGAAUCUUGGCCAUAAAGGGGGAGUCAUCGCCCUUUUGCAGCAAGAAGCUGGGGACUUCAUUGUCCCUUUUCAUUGCAUGCCUCACAGAUUGGAACUGGCCAUGUUGUCUGUCCAGCGGGACAAUGCCAUGAUUGGUCAGGUAUAUGACAUGCUUAACAUGGUUUGGAAGACCUAUCACUUCAGUCCCAAAUCGAUGAGGGAGCUCAAGGCCCUUGGAGAAGACCUUGGGGUGAAUGUGCUCGUCCCCAGUGGGGUUAGAGGGACGCGAUGGCUUCCUCAUGUCUCCAGGGCCCUGGAGACCCUCCUCAGACCUGGGAAGGACAACCAUGGGCAGUUCACUGCAGUUUACUGCCAUAUGGACCACUUGGCAGGGUCUUCUGCCAAUGCAGAUAUUGCAGGGCGAGCCAGAAAGGUCUGUUUUGGAUAAGGAAUUUCUUACAUAUGUGUCAUUGUGCUUUCCUUAUCAAUUUGAUGUUUUUAACUGAGUUUGUGUAUUUAUUGUGCUUAAUAUGGUUAAUCUGGGUUUAGAUCAAGAAAACUAUGGGGGAUGGCACAUUUGUUGCAUUCUGCCACUUCCUUGCUGAUGUGUUUUCUGGGCUCACAAAGUUCAGUCUCCUCCAGAAAAAUGAAAUAAUACUUCCUCAAGCAGUUUGUGGGCUUCAAAAUCUUCUGGCGACCACAGAGGUCAUGGAAGCAAGGCCCAAACCAGGGGGCAGACUGUCACAGCUCCAGGACGCACUUCGGCAACAGAAGAGACAACAAGAAGAACAGGGGGAAAUCCCAAAUUACAAGUUUCAGACAGUCACACUCAAAGGUGACUUUUCAAAUCUGGCAGAAGCUGAGGCUUCGCGCAAGAGGGCCCCUAAACUUCAAAAUGCGAUAGAGGCAACAGUAAGGUCCACAGUGAAGCAUCUGAAGGCC